rnacentral:lncRNA from 1 species
UAUAUCUAUAUUUCAUCUUUUAUCAAUGAAUUGACACUAGAUACCCAGUACUCGAGAUCCCAAAUUCGAAACCUAAUAACUCUAUAUUUUCAGCUUUGUUUAUUUUUUUUAAAAAAAUAAAAUGAAUAGCUUGCUACCUUUCUAUCUCUUCAUGUCAAUAUAUAUAUAUAUAUAUAGAGAGAGAGAGAGAGAGAGAGAGAGAGAGAGAGAGAGAGAGAGAGAGAGUGAGUUGAGCUAGAAUACAUUCAAAAGUACCAAUGAGGUGGUGUUUUUGAGUUUUUAACCAUUGGAUGGAGGAAUGUAAGGUUGUGAUGAUGGUGGUAGGUGGUGGUAGGUGGUGGUAGGUGGAAUAGUGUUUGAUCCAAGGGCUAUUAGUAAUGAAGGAGUAGAUCCAAGGAAUAGAAACCUAAAAGCACCAACGGGGUGAUACUUUUAAAAGUAUUCUAGUUCAAUUUUAUAUAUAUAUAUAUAUAUA